rnacentral:rRNA from 1 species
ACGAACGCUGGCGGCGUGCUUCACACAUGCAAGUCGAACGGAAAGGCCCCUUUGGGGGUACUCGAGUGGCGAACGGGUGAGUAACACGUGAGUAACCUGCCCUUGACUUCGGGAUAACUUCAGGAAACUGGGGCUAAUACCGGAUAGGAAUCCUUGCUGCAUGGUGGGGGUUGGAAAGCUUCGGCGGUUUUGGAUGGACUCGCGGCUUAUCAGCUUGUUGGUGGGGUAGUGGCUUACCAAGGCUUUGACGGGUAGCCGGCCUGAGAGGGCGACCGGCCACAUUGGGACUGAGAUACGGCCCAGACUCCUACGGGAGGCAGCAGGGGGGAAUAUUGCACAAUGGGCGGAAGCCUGAUGCAGCAACGCCGCGUGCGGGAUGACGGCCUUCGGGUUGUAAACCGCUUUCAGCAGGGGCGAAGCUUGUGGUGACGGUACCUGCAGAAGAAGCACCGGCUAACUACGUG